rnacentral:rRNA from 1 species
UUCGAUUCGUCAGAUUGAACGCUGGCGGGAUGCUUUAGCACAUGCAAGUCGAACGGCAGCACGGACUUCGGUCUGGUGGCAGUGGCGAACGGGUGAGUACACGUAUCGGAACGUGCCCAGUAGCGGGGGAUAACUACGCGAAAGGUAGCUAAUACCGGCAUAUUGCCUCUUCGGGGGAAAGCGGGGGACCUUUCGGGCCUCGCACUAUUAGAGCGGCUGAUAUCGGAUUAGCUAGUUGGUGGGUAACGGCUCACCAAGGCGACGAUCCGUAGCUGGUUUGAGAGGACGACCAGCUACACUGGGAUCAGAGACACGCCUGACUCUACGGGAGGCAGCAGUGGGAAUUUUGGACAAUGGGGGAAACCUGGAUUCAGUCAUCCAGCAAAAGACGAAGGCCUUCGGGUUGUGCAAAGCACUUUUGGCAGGAAGAACGGCACGGGAUAAUACCCCGUGCAACUGACGGUACCUGCAGAAUAAGCACCGGCUAAAUUACGCCAGCAGCCGCGGUAAUACGUAGGUGCAAGCGUUAAUCGGAAUUACUGGGCGCAAGUGUGCGCAGGCGGUUCGAAAAAGAAAGAUGUGAAAUCCCAGAGCUUAACUUUGAACUGGUAUUUUAAUACCGAGCUAGAGUGUGUGUCAGAGGGAGGUGGAAUUCCGCGUGUAGCAGUGGAAUGCAGAGGAGCAGGAGGAACACCGAUGGAAGUAGUGCAGCCUCCUGGGAUAACACUGACGCUCAUGCACGAAAGCGUGGGGGAGCAAACAGGAUUGAUACCCUGGUUCACGCCCUAAACGAUGCUCAACUAGCUGUUGGGGCCUUCGGCCUUGGUAGCGCAGCUAACGGGGUGAAGUUGACCGCCUGGGGAGUACGGUCGCAAGAUUAAACUCAAAGGAAUUGACGGGACCCCGCAUAAGCGGUGGAUGAUGUGGAUUAAUUCGAUGCAACGCGAAAACCUUACCUACCCUUGACAUGUCUGGAAUCCCGAAGAGGGAUUUGGAGCGUGCUUCAGAAACCGGAACACAGGUGCUGCAAUGUCGUCACUCGUGUCGUGAGAUGUUGGGUUAAGUCCCGCAACGAGCGCAACCCUUGUCAUUAGUUGCUACGAAAAGGUUCCCAGACGAGAUCGUUGGUGACAAACCGGAGGAAGGUGGGAUAGACGUCAAGUCCUUCAUGGCCCUUAUGGGUAGGGCUUCACACGUCAUACAAUGGUCGGGACAGAGGGUCGCCAACCCGCGAGGGGAGCCAAUCCCAGAAACCCGAUCGGUCCGGAUCGCGGUCUGCAACUCGACUGCGUGAAGUCGGAAUCGCUAGUAAUCGCGGAUCAGCAUGUCGCGUGAAUACGUUCCGGUCUUGUACAUGACCGCCCGUCACACCAUGGGAGUGGGCUUUACCAGAAGUAGUUAGCCUAACCGUAAGGAGGUGCGAUUACCACGGUAGAUCUCAUGACUGGGGUGGAAGUCGUAAUAAAGGUAG